rnacentral:rRNA from 1 species
AGUGAACGCUGGCGGUAGGCCUAACACAUGCAAGUCGAACGGCAGCACAGUAAGAGCUUGCUCUUACGGGUGGCGAGUGGCGGACGGGUGAGGAAUACAUCGGAGUCUACUUUUUCGUGGGGGAUAACGUAGGGAAACUUACGCUAAUACCGCAUACGACCUACGGGUGAAAGCAGGGGAUCUUCGGACCUUGCGCGAUUGAAUGAGCCGAUGUCGGAUUAGCUAGUUGGCGGGGUAAAGGCCCACCAAGGCGACGAUCCGUAGCUGGUCUGAGAGGAUGAUCAGCCACACUGGAACUGAGACACGGUCCAGACUCCUACGGGAGGCAGCAGUGGGGAAUAUUGGACAAUGGGCGCAAGCCUGAUCCAGCCAUACCGCGUGGGUGGAGAAGGCCUUCGGGUUGUAAAGCCCUUUUGUUGGGAAGGAAAAGCAGCAGGUUAAUACCCCGCUGUUCUGACGGUACCCAAAGAAUAAGCACCGGCUAACUUCAUG